rnacentral:piRNA from 1 species
AAUUAUUGAAUUCUCUACUAUUGGCAUGU